rnacentral:ncRNA from 1 species
GUAAGUCCAGGCAUUUGGGUGCGGUCAUCCACAGGUAAGACCGUCCAAAGGACGGCGCCGCACCCCUCCCGCAAGGGAGUGUGCCUGGGAGGAGGA